UAGCCAUGAUGUGGGUAAGUACUUAGGAGAUCCUCAAAUCUCUCCCAGCAUCGGAAGAAGGUUUCUUCCUCUUUCUGUGAGAAAUUCACAAUGGCCCUUUUAAGGGU